rnacentral:rRNA from 1 species
GCAAGUCGAGCGAUUUACUUCGGUAAAGAGCGGCGGACGGGUGAGUAACGCGUGGGUAACCUGCCCUGUACACACGGAUAACAUACCGAAAGGUAUGCUAAUACGAGAUAAUAUACUUUUAUCGCAUGGUAGAAGUAUCAAAGCUCUGGCGGUACAGGAUGGACCCGCGUCUGAUUAGCUAGUUGGUAAGGUAACGGCUUACCAAGGCGACGAUCAGUAGCCGACCUGAGAGGAAGGUC